rnacentral:lncRNA from 1 species
CUCACGUCACUCCUGGGAUAGAUAUUUUCAUGGCGGUCAGGUUUCUGGUUCCUUUUCAUUUGGAUUGUGGAGAUGGAUAUUCUAUCCAUCCAUUUACCUCAAAGAGUACACGCACAGGCACAGUCUCACCAGAGCGCGUCCACAUGGUAUGACUGGCUGGCAGCACUCCUCUCGUGCGACCUAGAAGCCUGUCUAUGUUCAGAGAGGUGCAGCAAUAAGUUCCCAGGCAUCAGAACAGGGCUGAACAUGCCCAGACCAGAGUCUGGAACGCCUGAAUCCAAAAUGAAUGCUUUUUUCAGUGCACCAGACUCUUCCAGAAAAAAGAAAGAAGAAUUCUUAGCUUCUGCUAUGAAUGACUUUGGUCCUAAAUUCAACGGACAAAGUCACUUCUGGGGACAGUCAAUCUCAACUCCCACAUACUCCAGGUGACAGACAGACACUCAAGAAUAUAUGCAAUCCCUAGAAGUCACAUGUUACCCUGAGCAUCUAACCCCAAGCCCACCCUUCAUCCCCUGACAAGAAGCCAUCCCUUUGUCCCAGGAGUAUCCAGAACCCUCUAAGAACCCUGGUCCCUCCAACCUUCAGCUUCUACUGUCUCCUCUUACCACACCAGAAACACCUGGUGAGAGCAGCUGGUGACUGUUGACACCCUGUCACCUGAAGACAAGAACUGGUGACUGUUGAUACCCUGUCACCUGAAGACGAGAACUGGUGACUAUUGAC